ACUCUGCACUAGCCCGAUUUUCUGUGAUUUACACUGGAGCAAUGGAGAUGAAGGAAGAUGUUCAAGCUGGACGUGUCUCCUGGCGCCAUGAUGUUGACAUCAGGAGCUGGAGGAGCAGCUGGAACUUUCGAAACGUAACAUUCUAUACUGGCCGGCAACCGCCUUUGUUGACUCGGGUGGCUGCAGGAGGCACCAGCUACUUCAUGCUGGUGCCCUUUGCUGACAUUCGGCGCCCACAAAAUGGGCGAAUCCGGGAAAACCUGCCCUUUCCAGCGUUCCCCAAAUGCACAGCAGAAGUACAGGCAGAUCUGUUUCUGGGAAAAACAACCCUCAGGCUGUUCGAGGAUCAGUUGUGCCUUCCAGCACAGCAAGCCUCGAAAUAUAAAUGGACUGUUCCUGCCACCUGAUAACAAUGUGCCGUUGCAACAGGGUGGCCAAGAAAGGACUCUGCAUCCAGCACAUCUUCAAGAAUCACUCAGAAACCAAGAGAAUAUUUCCCUACCAGUUCAUGCUCCACUGAUUAUAAGGCUCAACAAUGCUGAAGAUGAACAGGACGAUGAAGAGGAUGAUGACAAAU